rnacentral:rRNA from 1 species
UCCUACGGGAGGCAGCAGUGGGGAAUAUUGGACAAUGGAGGCAACUCUGAUCCAGCAAUGCCGCGUGUGUGAUGAAGGCCCUAGGGUUGUAAAGCACUUUCAACGGUGAAGAUGAUGACGGUAGCCGUAGAAGAAGCCCCGGCUAACUUCGUGCCAGCAGCCGCGGUAAU